UAUGAACUAUCCACAAGCCAAGGGACCCAGGUCACCUUGCGCAACAUCUCCCAUUCUCAACGGUGCGACCAACAGAGUUUCAUGAGGAUUGGGCAUCUGAUGCUUAUGGCCCUUGCCAUCCUGGCGAUGAGUUCAGAAGUGCCGGCAAGCAAGUUGGCAGCGGACCAAGCGCAGAACUGCACAACGGUGGUCAUAUCUCCGGGUACGGCGUGUGAUCCGCAGACGUGUGAGGUGGAUUGCUACAGAAUUUUUCGCAGGCAUGGGACCUGUAUUAACACUGGGUGUGCUUGCCUAUUCUGCCAUCCAGGGAAAAGUAACGAAGGAAGAAGCUACCAAAUAUAGCUUUGAUAUAUAUAAUGGCUACAUUUCUUUCAAUGGUUCCAUGGUUGCAGAUGUAAUAAUUAAGUGAACAGUGGGAAAUAGUUAACUGUCCCUGGUUUAGAUUUA